AUGCUUUACACAUGCAAGUCGAACGGCAGCACGGGAGCUUGCUCCUGGUGGCGAGUGGCGAACGGGUGAGUAAUGCGUCGGAACGUACCGAGUAAUGGGGGAUAACGCAGCGAAAGUUGUGCUAAUACCGCAUACGCCCUGAGGGGGAGAGUGGGGGAUCGUAAGACCUCACGUUAUUCGAGCGGCCGACGUCUGAUUAGCUAGUUGGUGGGGUAAAGGCCUACCAAGGCGACGAUCAGUAGCGGGUCUGAGAGGAUGAUCCGCCACACUGGGACUGAGACACGGCCCAGACUCCUACGGGAGGCAGCAGUGGGGAAUUUUGGACAAUGGGGGCAACCCUGAUCCAGCCAUUCCGCGUGAGUGAAGAAGGCCUUCGGGUUGUAAAGCUCUUUCAGCUGGAACGAAACGGUACGCGCUAACAUCGUGUGCUAAUGACGGUACCAGCAGAAGAAGCACCGGCUAACUACGUGCCAGCAGCCGCGGUAAUACGUAGGGUGCGAGCGUUAAUCGGAAUUACUGGGCGUAAAGCGUGCGCAGGCGGACUGUUAAGCAAGAUGUGAAAUCCCCGGGCUUAACCUGGGAAUGGCAUUUUGAACUGGCAGUCUAGAGUGCGUCAGAGGGGGGUGGAAUUCCACGUGUAGCAGUGAAAUGCGUAGAGAUGUGGAGGAACACCGAUGGCGAAGGCAGCCCCCUGGGAUGACACUGACGCUCAUGUACGAAAGCGUGGGUAGCAAACAGGAUUAGAUACCCUGGUAGUCCACGCCCUAAACGAUGUCAACUGGUUGUUGGGGGAGUGAAAUCCCUUAGUAACGAAGCUAACGCGUGAAGUUGACCGCCUGGGGAGUACGGUCGCAAGAUUAAAACUCAAAGGAAUUGACGG
rnacentral:rRNA from 1 species